UAUAUAAAAUUGAAAAGAAAAAAAUAAAAAUACCUUGUUAUAAAAUAAUAAGCAAUUUUUUUUAAAAAAAAAUAACUAACAAUUUUUUAUGUAAUUACCAUUUGAAAAAAACAUCUACUACUAAGCGAAUAAUAUAAAUAUCGUACAAAAAUAUAAUAAUGAAUAAAAUAAUUAUACUAUAAAAAAAUCUAUCAUCCCUCAUACUUUUCCAUAUAGAUAAUAAAAAAAAAAAGGGAUUUUUUCUAUAAUAAACUGAAAAUGAAAAAAAUUUACAUUUAUGACCUACAUAGAGAAAAUAAACAAAAAUAGAAACUAAAAGUUGUUAUUUACAAAAAUACCUGCCAAAAAAAAACAGAGGGGAUCCUCCUUCUUCGUGACCCAGCUGUAGAACCCCAACAACCAUUUUCAACCAUUUUCAUUCCAAAACUAGGAAAAUCAUAUCUAAAAAAAUGUAGAUCUCAAAGAAAAACUACUCAGAUCCCGAAAAUCCAAAUACAAAAAGGGAUAAAAAAUUAUCCAACCUCCAUUGUUGUACAAAAAAAAAAAAAACUCAAAAACAACAUUCAGUCAAAAGCCCAACGUGUUCAGAGGAGAAGAAUGAAGCUUCUAAAGACAUAAAUAAAUAACAUAAAAGAAAUACAACUAAAAAACUACAGCAAUAGAUGAACAGGGACCGUGACAUCAUAAUCAACCAUACAACAACCAUACAACAACCAGAAAACAACAAAGAAAAAACUACAGCAAUAGAUGAAUAUAAAAACAACUAAAAAAAAACUCAAUAACAACACAAAAAUAACAUCAAUAAAAAUACAUAAAAGAAAUACAACAACCAAAGAAAUACAUAAAAACUCCAUAGAUGAAUACAAACAAUUGUAUCAGUUCAAGACGAUACAUUUUUUCUAGGAACAGGGACCGUGACAUCAUAAUCAACCAUACAACAACCAGAAAACAACAAAGAAAAAACUACAGCAAUAGAUGAAUAUAAAAACAACUAAAAAAAAACCCACUUCAAAUUCUCAAAACAGUCUCCAAAGAAGGUUUUAGUGUAUUAAUCCAAAGACCUCCUUCUUCUCCUUCUUCUUCUCCUUUCGAAUUUUGGUUUGAUGUAGAAAUAAAGAGAGACACAACCCACUACUCUCUAUGUUGGUUUGAACCGAAUUUGAGAGAUAUAGAGUAAGCUCCAUAGCUCCGUGGAAAGAGAGGUGUUUUUGUGACUAAGGUGGAGUUGGAUUUUGGUUUUUUUAGAUGGUGAGCUCUGGAGAACAAAGGAAAGAGAAACAGAGAAAAAAAAAAAAAAAAAAAAGAAGAAGAAUAUGGCAGAUAUGGAGGAGGUGGAGUGUAAGAAUGGAUAAAUGAAAAAUUUCAAAAAAAAAAAAAUAAGAAAGGAGUUAUGAGGUGGC